CCUACGGGUGGCAGCAGUGAGGAAUAUUGGUCAAUGGGCGCAAGCCUGAACCAGCCAAGUCGCGUGAGGGAAGACGGCCCUACGGGUUGUAAACCUUUUUUGCCGGGGAGCAAGCCUGAGCACGUGUGCCCAGGCGGAGAGUACCCGGCGUAAAAGCAUCGGCUAGCUCCGUGCCAGCAGCCGCGGUAACACGGGGGACGCGAGCGUUAUCCGGAUUUAUUGGGGUUAAAGGGCGCGCAGGCGGGCUGUUAAGCCGGCGGUAAAAAUUCAGGGCUCAACCCUGUCGUGCCGUCGGAACUGGCAGUCUUGAGUGGGCGAGAAGUAUGCGGAAUGCGUGGUGUAGCGGUGAAAUGCAUAGAUAUCACGCAGAACGCCGGUUGCGAAGGCAGCAUACCGGCGCCCAACUGACGCUGAGGCACGAAAGCGUGGGGAUCGAACAGGAUUAGAUACCCGUGUAGUC
rnacentral:rRNA from 1 species